AUCGAGGAAAGUCCGGGCUCCGCAGGGCAGAGUGCCAGGUAACUCCUGGGCAGCGCGAGCUGACGGCCAGUGCAACAGAGAGCAGACCGCCGAUGGCCCGCAAGGGCACAGGCAAGGGUGAAAGGGUGCGGUAAGAGCGCACCGCGUACGGGGCCAACGCCGUACGGCACGGUAAACCCCACUCGGAGCAAGACCAAAUAGGGGAACGAU
rnacentral:RNase_P_RNA from 1 species